UACGAAGGGUGCAAGCGUUACUCGGAAUUACUGGGCGUAAAGCGUGCGUAGGUGGUUCGUUAAGUCUGAUGUGAAAGCCCUGGGCUCAACCUGGGAAUGGCAUUGGAUACUGGCGACCUAGAGUGCGGUAGAGGGGUGUGGAAUUCCCGGUGUAGCAGUGAAAUGCGUAGAUAUCGGGAGGAACAUCUGUGGCGAAGGCGACACCCUGGACCGGUAUUGACGCUGAGGCGCGAAAGCCAGGGGAGCAAACGGG
rnacentral:rRNA from 1 species